UACAGAGGGUGCAAGCGUUGUUCGGAAUUAUUGGGCGUAAAGCGCGUGUAGGCGGCAACGCAAGUCGGGCGUGAAAUCCCACGGCUCAACCGUGGAAGUGCACUCGAAACUGCGUAGCUAGAGUCCUGGAGAGGAAGGUGGAAUGCUUGGUGUAGAGGUGAAAUUCGUAGAUAUCAAGCGGAACACCGUGGUGCGAAGGCGGCCUUCUGGACAGUGACUGACGCUGAGACGCGAAAGCGUGGGGAGCAAACAGG
rnacentral:rRNA from 1 species